UACGUAGGGUGCGAGCGUUGUCCGGAAUUAUUGGGCGUAAAGAGCUCGUAGGCGGUCUGUCGCGUCGGUCGUGAAAACCUGCAGCUUAACUGUGGGCGUGCGGUCGAUACGGGCAUGACUGGAGUUCGGCAGGGGAGACUGGAAUUCCUGGUGUAGCGGUGAAAUGCGCAGAUAUCGGGAGGAACACCGGUGGCGAAGGCGGUUCUCUGGGCCUUACCUGACGCUGAGGAGCGAAAGCGUGGGGAGCGAACAGG
rnacentral:rRNA from 1 species